rnacentral:rRNA from 1 species
CGAAAGCCUGACGGAGCAAUACCGCGUGAGGGAGGAAGGCUCUUGGGUUGUAAACCUCUUUUCUCAGGGAAGAAGUUCUGACGGUACUUGAGGAAUAAGCCACGGCUAAUUCCGUGCCAGCAGCCGCGGUAAUACGGGAGUGGCAAGCGUUAUCCGGAAUUAUUGGGCGUAAAGCGUCCGCAGGCGGCUUUUCAAGUCUGCUGUUAAAGCGUGGAGCUUAACUCCAUCAUGGCAGUGGAAACUGAAAGGCUUGAGUAUGGUAGGGGCAGAGGGAAUUCCCGGUGUAGCGGUGAAAUGCGUAGAU